CCUACGGGUGGCUGCAGUCGAGAAUCUUCGGCAAUGAGCGCAAGCUUGACCGAGCGACGCCGCGUGCGGGAUGAAGGCCUUCGGGUUGUAAACCGCGAAAGUGAGGAGGAAGGCUCUGCGAAGAGCAGGGUUUGACCUAUUCACAGUAAGGACGGGCUAAGUUCGUGCCAGCAGCCGCGGUAAUACGAACCGUCCAAACGUUAUUCGGAAUCACUGGGCUUAAAGGGUACGUAGGCGGCGCUGUUAGUCGGGUGUGAAAUCCCUCGGCUCAACCGAGGAAUUGCGCCCGAUACUGCAGUGCUUGAGGGAGACAGAGGUAAGCGGAACUGAUGGUGGAGCGGUGAAAUGCGUUGAUAUCAUCAGGAACACCGGUGGCGAAAGCGGCUUACUGGGUCUCUUCUGACGCUGAGGUACGAAAGCUAGGGGAGCGAAGGGGAUUA
rnacentral:rRNA from 1 species